AUGGUGGGCUCGAUUUCAGUUGAAAUUUCCAAAAUCAUGGCCCGGAGUAAUCUGGAGGCUGAAUUUCAGAGAUUCCCGAGGGCUGCCGCGAGGGGGCGCCCAGCCCCUGCUAAACCCGAGCGCUGCGCGCUUGAGCCGUAUCUGAUCCGCAAGGCGGCGUUGCGGGGCGUUUACCGUGAGGACAGAGCUUCCUCCCCUCAGGACGCGGCUGGGGGAGGCUGCGGCCUCGGGAGACAUGGGGACACUUGGGGCCGCGUCCACAGUGAGACAAGGAGACGCUGCUGCAGCUUCGGGACACCUGGGGCCGCCCAGGCGAAGAUGAGGAAAAAGCUUCCUGUUGCCGUUGAGUGUAGCGGCGGGAGCGCGGCCGUGUUUCCCUGUCCGCCGUUUGUAGCGGGACCUCACUUUAUAUUAAUAAAAGCGUCCCCUCAUGAGGGCUUGGGCUGGUCACCCCCAGCGCAGGCCAAGAUGCAGGUUAUGGAUGUGAGUUUGUUUCUGGGGAGAGACCCUGGUACCAGGAGAGGAGACGCGGUCAGGAGGUUGGGGACGGGAAGGCGCCACAGCCUGAGGCCAAGAAAACAGGCGCCCCCGGAUCAGUGCUCGUUUUUUUUUGUUUGUUUGUUUUGAGACGGAGUCUCGCUGUGUCGCCCAGGCUGGAGUGCAGUGGUGUGGUGGAGUGGUGUGAUCUCUGCUCACUGCAAGCUCCACCUCCCGGGUUCACGCCAUUCUCCUGCCUCAGCCUCCUGAGUAGCUGAGACUGUAGUCUCAGCCACCAUGCCCGGCUAAUUUUUUUGCAUUUUUAGUAGAGACGGGGUUUCACUGUAUGAGCCGGGAUUGUCUUGAUCUCCUGACCUCAUGAUCCGCCCGCCUCGGCCUCCCAAAGUGCUGGGAUUACAGGCCGGGAGGCGGAGGUUGCAGUGAGCCGAGAUUGCACCACUGCACUGCACCCUGGGUGACAGAGCGAGACUCUGUUUUGGGGGGAAAAAAUAAACUCAUACAUGGAAAAUUCCAAAACAUUGCUGAAAUAAAUUCAAGAAAACUUUUGGCGGAAAUUCACAAGCUGAUCCUAUCAUUUAUAUGAAAUUUCAAGGGAUGCAGAAUAGCCAACAUAGUGUCAAAGAAACCAACUCAGAGGCUCACAUUUCCAAAUUUCAAAUCUUACUAGAAAGCAACAUUAACAAAAACAACAUGAUUUUGGCAUCAUCAAUGGAAUAGAUCAAUGGAACUGAAUUCUGAGUCCAGAUAAACCCAUACUCCUAUGAGCAAUUGUUUUAUUUUUUGAGGCAGGGCCUCACUCUGUCUCCCAGGCUGGAGUGCAGUGGCACAAUCAUGACUCACUACAACCUCUAUUUCCUGGGCUCAAGUGAUCCUCCCACCUCAAACCUCCCAAGUAGCUGGGACUAGAGGUGUGCACCACCACAGCUGGCUAAUUUUUUUUUAUUUUUUUCAGGUAGGGUCUUUCUCUCCUGCCCAGGCUGGCCUCAAACUCCUGGCCUCAGGUGUUAGCUACCAUGUCCAGCCUGCUGAUUUUUAAAAAUGGAAUUUCUUUUUCCUUUCUUUUUUUCUCUGGGCAUGGUUUUGCUCUGUUGCCCAGAUUGGAGUGCAAUGGUGCGAACGCAGCUUAUUGCAGCCUCAACCUCCUGGGCUCAAGCAAUCCUCCCUCCUCCGUCUCCUGAGUAACUAGGACUACAGACAUGCACCACCACACCUAGCUAAUUUUUAAGUUAUUUGUAGAGAGAGGGUUUCCCUGUGUUGCCCAGACUGGCCUGAAACUCCUGGGUUCAAAAGAUCCUCCCACCUCAGCCUCUCAAAGUGCUGGGAUUACAGGUGUGAGCCACCACCCCUAGACUGGAAUUUUUUUCAUAAUUACAUUCUCACGUUGUUUGUUUCUAGUUUCUAGAAAUAUAGCAGAUUACUGUGUAUUGAGAUUUUGUGUUGUAACUUUGCUUACUUUACUAGUUUUAAUAAUAUUUUGGGGGUUCUUAAUGAUUUUCUGUAUGUAAGAUAGAUCAUGUGAUCUGUGAGUAGACAGUUUUGCUGUCCCCUUUCACAUAUGAGUGCUCUUUACUUCUGUUUCUCUCCUAUUUGUUGUGGAUGGAACUUCCCAUACAGUGUUGAAUACAGUGAUGAAAAUGAGCAUUGAUGCCUUGGUGGUGAUCUUAGGAGUAAAGCACUGGGCCCUGACAAUGGAGAUGGUGCUGGAGGCCGAUUGUUGUGUUUAGAAAAUUCCUAUCUCAAGGUCAGGGGUCAGGGUCAGUGUUCAGGGUCAGGGGUCAGGGUCGGGUUAGGGUCGGGGUCAGGGGUCAGGGUCGGGUUAGGGUCAGGGUCAGGGUUAGGGGUUAGGGUCAGGGUCAGGGUCAGGGUUAGGGUUAGGGUUAGGGUUUAGGGUUAGGGUUAGGGCUUUGAAUAAACUUAUAUGGUAGCCAAGUUGUGGUUACAGUGGGCCUUGGGUGAGACCAAGUUCUAUGCCUACUUCAAGUGUGAACCAGCACAGUCUCAGUGGUGAUGGCCUCAGGGGUGCUUAUGUUACCCCAACUCCAGCUCCACAUGCCUCAGCACAGAAAGAGAGACUGCUGGUUUCAGAGAAAGAAAGGGAAGAGAACAAGAAUCUCUACUUGAUAAAUCAAGAGAAUUUUUCUUAAUGUUAAUCCAAGGCCACCAAAGCAGUACCUCUACGUGUUUGCUACUGUGUUUUUGGGCUUGGC
rnacentral:lncRNA from 1 species